ACUUAUGCAAACAGAAUCUCACCAAUUUCAAAUGUUUAAAAUUCUUAAUGAUAAAAUUGGUAAAUGACUUGAUCCUUUAGUAACAGAAAGUCACUAUCCUUCUCUUUAAGUAUAUGGAACUUGCGCCGAGGGAGGGACGGUCAAAGCCUCCAUUAAUUCAUGAACUAAGCAAAUUAUUCUGCAAAUAGUAAUUUCCUUAAUGCACAUGGUUGGUACCCAUAUUUCAAAGAUAGGACGAUCCAUUGACUAGCUGUCCCUAGGGAUUUGUUUUAUCCACUUAAGUAGUAAUUUACAAUAGGGAAAGACCUUCUUUUUCGUAUUAAAAUUUGAUAAUCUGCAUUUUAAAUAAUUUGUUAGAAAUUAGGUGUUAUUUCUUUCUACGUUAUAGACUAUAAUCAUCUUGUUCUAGAUCCCUGAUGCAUAACAGCAUUGUAUUCACAAUUCCGCUCUCUAACUACUCAACUUUUGUCAACUAUACUUUCUUCAUUUACAAUUCUUUCUAAGGCAAUCAUUAUGAGUGGAAGAAAAGGAGAAGACUUCUUAUGGUUCCUUUCUUAAGCAAGUUGUGUCAUGGAUUCAUUCUUUGAUUAAAAAAAAUCCCCUAAUUCUGAAAAGAUCUCAGCUUUUCUCCUAUUCAUUGUUCUUCUUCUGCUUCACCCAAAACAUUUACAAAUUCCACAACUAUUUCUUUAUGAAUCAUAUUUAUCAUUCUAAGCAAUUCAUUCAUGCAACCUAUACAGUCGGUUCAUGUACCCUAGUACUCCCUUUUCCCAAAAUGAUUCAAAUUCGAGUCUAUAUUCUAAAAGACCAUCAAUUUCAUCAGCUUUUAUUCAGCAGUCUUACUAAAUUACUGCAAUGUGAACCAAAGCCAGGAAAAAUUAUAGAUACAAUCAUUAAUAUUCACUUCUUUUUAAAACAAAAAAUAAAAAAUCCAUUUCUACAUUUGUAUUAAAGCACCUUCCCUAGUGCCUUGUGAAAUCUCAGUGCCAUCACUUCAUUACGAAGGCAUCCAUAAGCUACAUUUGAAAGCCUAACACUUACUUAACUCCCUACUAUAACCAUAUUUUUUUUCUUCUUGUACAAGACCACUUACAAUAUCAUAUCCUAUUGAGCAUCCCCAAUUAGCUCUCCUUUGUAUCAACUAUCAACAAACAAUGAAAUGUAUGGACGAAUUUAUAUUGGAACAUGACAAUUCCUCCCUCAUAUUCAACAGAUAGUCUCAUAUAUUAAAUUGGCUCAUAAAUUAAAAUGGCCAUUCACUUACUAAUUUUUUCAAUCUCAAAAAUUUAUAAAUUAUAUCAACAUGCACUUGCACAUGUAUUAAGAGUAAAAAACCAUCAGAGUUGCUCAAG
rnacentral:misc_RNA from 1 species